GUACCACACAGAAAACAAAGCACUCUUCCAUGCAGCAAAAGCGUAUGAACAAGCCGGCAUGAUGCUGAAGGACAUGAAGAAAAUGCCUGAAGCCAUUCAGCUGAUCGAGAAGGCCAGCAUCAUGUACGUGGAGAAUGGGACGUCUGGCACCGCUGGAAUAGCCUUGGACAGGGC